rnacentral:rRNA from 1 species
GACGGAGGAUGCAAGUGUUAUCCGGAAUCACUGGGCGUAAAGCGUCUGUAGGUGGUCAAAUAAGUCAACUGUUAAAUCUUGAGGCUCAACCUCAAAAUCGCAGUCGAAACUAUUAGGCUAGAGUAUAGUAGGGGUAAAGGGAAAUUUCCAGUGGAGCGGUGAAAUGCGUAGAGAUUGGAAAGAACACCGAUGGCGAAGGCACUUUACUGGGCUAUUACUAACACUCAGAGACGGAAAGCUAGGGUAGCAAAUGGGA